ACGAAGGUCCCAAGCGUUGUUCGGAAUCACUGGGCGUAAAGGGAGCGUAGGCGGCGUGGUAAGUCAGAUGUGAAAUCCCGGGGCUCAACCCCGGAACUGCAUCCGAUACUGCCAUGCUAGAGUAAUGGAGAGGUAGCUGGAAUUCUUGGUGUAGCAGUGAAAUGCGUAGAGAUCAAGAGGAACACUCGUGGCGAAAGCGAGCUACUGGACAUUUACUGACGCUGAGGCUCGAAGGCCAGGGUAGCGAAAGGG
rnacentral:rRNA from 1 species